rnacentral:rRNA from 1 species
AUUGAACGCUGGCGGCAGGCUUAACACAUGCAAGUCGAGCGGAGACUUCGGUCUUAGCGGCGAACGGGUGAGUAAUACCUAGGAAUCUGCCUAUUAGUGGGGGAUAACGAAUCGAAAGGUUCGCUAAUACCGCAUACGUCCUACGGGAGAAAGGGGGGAGUCUUCGGACCUCUCGCUAAUAGAUGAGCCUAGGCCGGAUUAGCUAGUUGGUAGGGUAAAGGCCUACCAAGGCGACGAUCUGUAGCUGGUCUGAGAGGAUGGCCGAGCCACACUGGAACUGAGACACGGUCCAGACUCCUACGGGAGGGCAGCAGU